GACGAACGCUGGCGGCGUGCUUAACACAUGCAAGUCGAACGGAAAGGCCUGCUUUUCCUUGUGGCUUGCGGGUACUCGAGUGGCGAACGGGCGAGUAACACGUGAGUGAUCUGCCCCCAACUUGGGUAUAAGCCCGGGAGACUGGGCCUAAUUACCGAUAGAACCGCAGGGUGUUGCCUGUGGAGGAGAACGUUCUUCACGCGGUUGGGGAUCGGCUCGCGGUCUAUCAGCUUGUUGGUGGGGUAAUGGCCUAGCAAGGCGACGACGGGUAGCCGGGGGGGGAGGGUGGACGGGGGCAUUGGAACUGGGAUACAGCCCUGAGUGCGACAGGAGUCGGGAGUGGGGAGUAAUGGACGAUAGGCGGAAGCCUGAAGGAGCGACGACGGGUGAAGGUUGACGGCCUGCGGGUCGUAGACGCCUGUCGACCGCGAGGAAGCCACCUGAUUGGAAGGGUAGUGACGGUAGUGGUAGAGAAAGCGCCGGCUAACUACGUG
rnacentral:rRNA from 1 species